ACUUCGAGGUCUGGUUGUCUGAAUUCUGGAACCCCACACAAUCCGACAAGUGUCAGAAAGUUCUGAGAAAAACACGAUAUCUCCCAUCCUCUUUCUAGUGCUUUUCUUUCCUCCGUCCUAUAAAGCUCACUCCCUCUCCCUACUCCCAUGCGUAAACAUUGAGGCAGAGGCUACUUCCAAGUUUCAAUCUUUCCCUUCAAAAACGCUAAACACAAGACCAAAAGCUACAAACUUUAAAAACCCAAGUAAUUAGACACCCAAUCAACCUUAAUUGAGACAUCAUAGACUGAGAGUUUCUGCGAAAAUGGAGGGAGUUGUAGUGAAAGAAGAGGAGACAGUGACAUGUACUGGAGGUGGAGCUUCUUCAUCUUCAUCAUCCUCUAGUUUCUCUCCGCAUCCAAUGGAGGGGUUAAAUGAAGUGGGCCCACCUCCGUUCUUGACGAAGACAUAUGAAAUGGUGGAAGACCCUUCAACGGAUACAGUGGUUUCGUGGAGUGGAGGUCGCAAUAGCUUCAUAGUUUGGGACUCUCAUAAGUUCUCUACUACUUUGCUUCCGAAACACUUCAAACACAGUAACUUCUCCAGCUUCAUUCGACAGCUCAACACUUAUGGUUUCAGGAAGGUUGAUCCUGACCGGUGGGAAUUUGCCAAUGAAGGGUUUUUGGGAGGGCAGAAGCAUCUAUUGAAGACCAUCAAACGGAAAAGACAUCUCUCACAGACCACACAACAACAAGGUGGAGGAGCUUGCAUUGAGUUAGGACAAUUUGAAUUUGAAGGAGAGCUUGAAAGGUUAAAAAGAGACCGAAACGUGUUAAUGGCAGAGAUUGUAAGGCUUAGGCAGCAACAACAGCAGUCGAGGGAACACAUUGCUGCGAUGGAGGAUAGGUUACGAAGCACAGAGAGAAAACAGCAGCGGGUGAUGACAUUCCUUGCUAAAGCUCUCAACAACCCAUCCUUUAUCGAGCAAUUUGCACAAAGGGCUGCACAGAGGAGAGAAAUAAGAGGUGUUGAAAUUGGGCGUAAGAGGAGACUCACUGCAAGCCCAAGUGUUGAAAAUUUGCAAGAAGUUGCAUCUGUGGCAUUAGGUAGCAGCCAAUUUGUUGAUUACAUGAAUCAGGAUUUACCAACUAUUGAGAACGAGAUGGAGACGCUUUUCUCUGCUGUCUUGGACAAUGAAUCAAGCAGUGAUAUCAAGGACCCAAUAGCAAGUUCUAUGGACACAGCAAGUGGUGGUAGCACUUUGGAUGCUGUUAAUGAGACAAUUUGGGAGGAGUUACUUACUGAUGAUUUAGUUUCCGGGGAACCUAAUGAAGUUGUUGUGAGUGAUGAACCAGAAGUUGAUGUGGAAGUUGAGGAUUUGGUUGCGAAACCUGUGGACUGGAGUGAUGAUUUUCAGGACCUUGUGGAUCAAAUGGGUUAUCUCAGGUCAAAUCCAUGAUAUAAGACAUAGCUGUUAUUAAAUGAUUUUUGGGAGUUUGUAUGGUUUUGUGUUGGUCUCUGCAACCCCAUUCCUGUUUCCAUAAUGGAGGGAGUGGUGGAAGUUCCAACACGGCCAACAGAUGUUACUCUGCUCUUCUGUUUCCUUCUUGAAUUAGAAUGAAAUUCCUCAAUAUUUCUUAAUUUUUUAAAUUACUUUGAGCCCUUGAGAUUCCAUUGAUUCUUCUCUGCUGAAUUUUUGCAGGCCGGAACGCCAACAAAGAAUUUUUCGGAGGGGUGUCUGGAUUUGAAUCAUCUAACGAGUUCUAGACUCCACUGCUUUAUAUGUUCGUUUUCUCAACUUCCGUUGCUGACAGUUUCCUUUUGUGUACAUCCCACUGUUAUAUAUACAAUUACAUAAAAACUUGUGUGUAUAGUGUAUAUGAUGUAUAUAAAUGUAUGAGACAUACUGUACGUUUUAGAUAUAA